GGGGGGCGGCCGGAUCCUGGGCUGUGUCCCGGCGCCCUGUGCUCCCGGCCUGCUCUGUUGGAUUCGCGCUCCCGGCCCGCAGCCCCCC
rfam:Canis lupus familiaris chromosome 2, whole genome shotgun sequence.